AUGGCUACUAGUGGUGGCAGACGGCGAGUGGAAAGUGGCGAGGGCCACGGACGGGAGGGGGAAAUGUCGACGGGUAGGGUUGUGGUUCCGGCGGUCGGCUUAAAUAGUCGGGCCAUCAGUGAGAUACUACUCUGGAGGAGAUCGAAUUCUAACCUUGUGCGGCCAAGGAACAUCAGGUAGACAAUUUCUAUGGGGCCUGAGCCUCCCAAAAGGUAACAGAUGCGUGCAAAGGUUUCCUCGGGCCAGACGAACAUUGGUCCUCGAGUGCAAAGGUAGAAGGGAGCUUAACUGCAAGACUCACACGUCGAGCAGAGACGAAGGUCGGCCUUAGUGAUCCAACGGUGCCGAGUGGAAGGGCCGUCGCUCAACGGAUAAAAGUUACUCUAGGGAUAACAUGUUGAUCUUCCCCAAGAGUCCACAUCGACGGGAAGGUUUGGCACCUCGAUGUCGGCUCUUCGCCACCUGGAGCUGUAGGUGGUUCCAAUUGUUGGGUUGUUCGCCCAUUAAUGCGGUACGUGAGAUGGGUUCAGAACAUCGUGAGACAGUUCGUCCAUAUUCGGUGUGGGCGUUAGAGCAUUGAGAGGACCUUUCCCUAGUACGAGAGGACCGGAAAGGACGCACCUCUGGUGUACCAGUUAUCGUGCCUACAGUAAACGCUGGGUAGCCAAGUGUAGAGAGGAUAACUGUUGAAAGCAUAUAAGUAGCAAGCCCACCCCCAGAUGAGUGCUCUCUCCUCUGACUUCCUUAGAGCCUUCGAUAUCACAACCGAGACAGCGACGGGUUCUCCACCCAUACGGGGAUGGAGCGACAGAAGUAUGGAAAUAGGAUAAGGUAACGGUGAGACGAGCCAUUUAAAUAGGUGUCAAGUGGAAGUGCGGUGAUGUAUGCAGCUGAGGCAUCCUAAUUUGA
rfam:Triticum aestivum genome assembly, contig: Triticum_aestivum_CS42_TGACv1_scaffold_640732_T_7BL-0.158551_5BL-0.079818